AAUGAGUGAGGGCCAUGCAGUGCCUCUCCCAUUAUGUCAGGACUCUUCUUGGAAUGCUGACUGUGUUUUGUAGAGUGCAGCCCUAGGAAGAUGGGAGACCCAGGAACUGGCCCUGUCUCUGCUGAUAGCUCCGUCAGCUUGAAUGAGGUCUAAGCCCCACGGACACUCUGCAUAAAGAAGCAUGCAUGUUGUGUCGAUUUCAUUCUAGAGCCCAGCUGGAACCCUAAGAGGUUGAAAGUGGAGUUUUGUCUCCUCUGCAGUGGACACUCAAAGAACUAGCCAGGAUGGGUUGGACCUGGGAGCAGAGAGACCAUGGCUCCCUUCCAAGGCUGGGAGAAGGGAGUUGCCACUCCUUCCCAAUCAAACCAUGCCAAGAACGAGGCUUUUGCAGGGAAAUCAGUGCAGAUGAGAACUUACCAACAGUUAAGAUGAAUAAAUAUAUCCAACUGCCUGGCCCAUGUCAACACGCAACAAUUAUUUGCUAAAAGAAAUAAAAAAGGGGCCGGGCAGGGUGGCUCAUGCCUAGAAUCACAGCACUUUGAGAGGCUGAGGCAGGCAGAUCACUUGAGGCCAGGAGUUUGAGACCAGCC
rnacentral:lncRNA from 10 species